rnacentral:rRNA from 1 species
AAGUCGUAACAAGGUUUCCGUAGGUGAACCUGCGGAAGGAUCAUUACAGAGUUCAUGCCCUCACGGGUAGAUCUCCCACCCUUGAAUACUAUACCUUUGUUGCUUUGGCGGGCCGCCUCGGCUACCGGCUUCGGCUGGUGAGUGCCCGCCAGAGGACCCCAAACUCUGAAUUACAGUGUCGUCUGAGUACUAUAUAAUAGUUAAAACUUUCAACAACGGAUCUCUUGGUUCUGGCAUCGAUGAAGAACGCAGCGAAAUGCGAUAAGUAAUGUGAAUUGCAGAAUUCAGUGAAUCAUCGAAUCUUUGAACGCACAUUGCGCCCCCUGGUAUUCCGGGUGGCAUGCCUGUUCGAGCGUCAUUAUAACCCUCAAGCCCAGCUUGGUGUUGGGGCCUGUCGUCAGACAGCCCUUAAAAUCAGUGGCGGUGCCUGCAGGCUCUACGCGUAGUAAUUCUUCUCGCGAUGGAGCCCUAUAGGAUGCUUGCCAUCAACCCCCAAUUUUCUAUGGUUGACCUCGGAUCAGGUAGGGAUACCCGCUGAACUUAAGCAUAUCAAUAAGCGGAGGAAAAGAAACCAACAGGGAUUACCUUAGUAACGGCGAGUGAAGCGGUAAAAGCUCAAAUUUGAAAUCUGGCUCUUUUAGGGUCCGAGUUGUAAUUUGUAGAAGAUGCUUCGGGUGUGGCUCCAGUCUAAGUUCCUUGGAACAGGACGUCAUAGAGGGUGAGAAUCCCGUAUGUGAUUGGUGGCCUUCGCCCAUGUGAAGCUCUUUCGACGAGUCGAGUUGUUUGGGAAUGCAGCUCAAAAUGGGUGGUAAAUUUCAUCUAAAGCUAAAUAUUGGCCAGAGACCGAUAGCGCACAAGUAGAGUGGUCGAAAGAUGAAAAGCACUUUGGAAAGAGAGUUAAACAGUACGUGAAAUUGUUGAAAGGGAAGCGCUUGCAACCAGACUUGCGCGUGGGUGAUCAUCCGGGGUUCUCCCCGGUGCACUCGCUCACGCUCAGGCCAGCAUCGGUUUUGGUGGUUGGAUAAAGGCCCUAGGAAUGUAGCUUCUCUCGGGGAGUGUUAUAGCCUAGGGUGCAAUGCAGCCUACCGGGACCGAGGACCGCGCUUCGGCUAGGAUGCUGGCGUAAUGGUUGUAAGCGACC